GAUGAACGCUGGCGGCGUGCAUAACACAUUCAAGUCGAACGGAAUUAGAGGUGCUUGCACCGAUAAUUUAGUGGCGGACGGGUGAGUAACGCGUGAGCAACCUACCUACAUGAGUGGAAUAACACAGGGAAACUUGUGCUAAUACCGCAUAAAAUGUUUUAAUUGCAUGGUUUAAACAUCAAAGAGCAAUCGCAUGUAGAUGGGCUCGCGUCUGAUUAGAUAGUUGGUGAGGUAACGGCUCACCAAGUCGACGAUCAGUAGCCGAACUGAGAGGUUGAACGGCCACAUUGGAACUGAGAAACGGUCCAGACUCCUACGGGAGGCAGCAGUGGGGAAUAUUGGGCAAUGGACGAAAGUCUGACCCAGCGACGCCGCGUGAGGAAGAAGGUCUUCGGAUUGUAAACCUCUGUUGAUAGGGAAGAAGAAAGUGACGGUACCUAUCGAGGAAGCCACGGCUAACUACGUG
rnacentral:rRNA from 1 species